rnacentral:rRNA from 1 species
AGUGAACGCUGGCGGUAGGCCUAACACAUGCAAGUCGAACGGCAGCACAGUAAGAGCUUGCUCUUACGGGUGGCGAGUGGCGGACGGGUGAGGAAUACAUCGGAAUCUACUUUUUCGUGGGGGAUAACGUAGGGAAACUUACGCUAAUACCGCAUACGACCCACGGGUGAAAGCAGGGGAUCUUCGGACCUUGCGCGAUUGAAUGAGCCGAUGUCGGAUUAGCUAGUUGGCGGGGUAAAGGCCCACCAAGGCGACGAUCCGUAGCUGGUCUGAGAGGAUGAUCAGCCACACUGGAUCUGAGACACGGUCCAGACUCCUACGGGAGGCAGCAGUGGGGAAUAUUGGACAAUGGGCGCAAGCCUGAUCCAGCCAUACCGCGUGGGUGAAGAAGGCCUUCGGGUUGUAAAGCCCUUUUGUUGGGAAAGAAAAGCAGCAGGUUAAUACCCCGCUGUUCUGACGGUACCCAAAGAAUAAGCACCGGCUAACUUCGUG